rnacentral:rRNA from 1 species
GACGAACGCUGGCGGCGUGCUUAACACAUGCAAGUCGAACGGAAAGGCCCUGCUUUUGUGGGGUGCUCGAGUGGCGAACGGGUGAGUAACACGUGAGUAACCUGCCCUUGAAUUUGGGAUAACUUCAGGAAACUGGGGCUAAUACCGGAUAGGAGCUCCUGCUGCAUGGUGGGGGUUGGAAAGUUUCGGCGGUUGGGGAUGGACUCGCGGCUUAUCAGCUUGUUGGUGGGGUAGUGGCUUACAACGGCUUUGACGGGUAGCCGGCCUGAGAGGGGGACCGGGCACAUUGGGACUGCGGUACGGCGCAGACUCGUACGGUAGGCAGCAGUGGGGAGUAUUGCACAAUGGGCGGAAGCCUGAUGCAGCAACGCCGCGUGCGGGAUGACGUCUUUCGGGUUGUAAACCGCUUUCGCCUGUGACGAAGCGUGAGUGACGGUAAUGGGUAAAGAAGCACCGGCUAACUACGUG